UACGGGGGGGGCAAGCGUUGUUCGGAAUUACUGGGCGUAAAGGGCUCGUAGGCGGCCAACUAAGUCGGAUGUGAAAUCCCCAGGCUUAACCUGGGAACUGCAUCCGAUACUGGAUGGCUUGAAUCCGGGAGAGGGAUGCAGAAUUCCAGGUGUAGCGGUGAAAUGCGUAGAUAUCUGGAGGAGUACCGGUGGCGAAGGCGGCAUCCUGGACCGGCAUUGACGCUGAGGUGCGAAAGCGUGGGGAGCAAACAGG
rnacentral:rRNA from 1 species